rnacentral:rRNA from 1 species
UACGGAGGGUGCAAGCGUUAUCCGGAUUUACUGGGCAUAAAGGGUGCGUAGGCGGUUUGUUAAGUCAGGGGUGAAAGUUUUCGGCCCAACCGGAAAAUUGCCUUUGAUACUGGCGAACUUGAGUGCGUGAGGGGUAACCGGAACGAGCAGUGUAGCGGUGAAAUGCGUAGAUAUUGCUCGGAAGGCCAACGGCGAAGGCAGGUUACUGGUACGCAACUGACGCUGAGGCACGAAAGCGUGGGGAGCAAACAGG